ACCUUCUCACUCAAUGCCUCCCCCACCUGCCCUGUUCCUUCAGCAUGGACCAUGUGAACGGUGGAGAAGUCCUCGAGAGGUGAUCUUGGGAUCACUUCCUGAGGAUCCUUGAUGCCGAGGAAUGUUCAUCCACCUUGCUAUGGUCUGGAUAGCCUGCUGAUCCAGAGCCAGAGCGGGAUGGAUGGAUAUAUAUACAAUAUCUGGGUGACCACAGAUGACGCGCUUGCUGUUCAAAGUCGGGACCACUCCUCUGUGCAUCAGUUGGGGACGUCUCUGCACUGCUGACCUGUCUCCACUCAAGAUGAUCCCCUGCUGGCCCCACUAUGGACUGGACUCUCACAUUAUUAACUAGAUCCACUCAACAUCCAUUGCACCGGUCGCCCAGGGUUAUGACCCCCCAGGAAAUGUGAGUGGACAGUGUGGUUUUUGUUUUUAUAUUGACUAUUUUUUUAAAUGUUUUUUUUAUUUAUUUAUUUUUUUUAAUCCGUUAUUACUCACAUCUUCUCUUAAUAUUUCAUUUUCCUAUUGUGUAUUUUGUUUUAAAAAGGUUGUAAUUAUUUAGGUCAUAUUUAGUACCCUUGUGCGUGCAUGAGUGACAUUUUCACUUAUGACUGAAAUUUUCACGUGUGAAAAAAAAACAAAAAAAACAAGGCAAUGAUGUAAGAAGAAGAUAAUGUACCUCCAAAAAAGGGGGGUCAGGGGAAGGUGCGGGGAUUGUUUUUUGACCCCCCCAGGAAGUGUGUUUGAGUUUUUUGUUUGUUUUUGGGUUUUUUUAUAAGUGAAAAUUUCACUCAUAAGUGAAAAUGUCACUCAUGCACACACAAGGGUACUAAAUAUGACCUAAAUACAUAUCUACAUACUCAAAGUUCGUACAUCCACACGCACAUUCACUGUACAAACAUACACAUACACAUACUGUACAUAUACAUUCACUGUACAAACAUACAUAUACACAUUCUGUACAUAUACAAGUACAUAUGCAUACAUACACUCAUCAAACAUAUAUUAACGUUGUUGCCCUAGGGUAAACUGGGUAACACAUGGCACACUGACAAAGCUUAACCUAUUAUAACUAUAACAAUCUACAAGGUUAAUAGAGGUUGCUUCUCUUUCUAUCCCCUCCUGCUACGGCCCGGCUGCACCAAAUGAUAAUAUAAAUACAUUUAAUAAAGUCAAAUACAAAUAAGACAACAAGAGAAGUAUCCUAAACUUCUCUUUUGUAAAGUAAAUCUGAACAGCCGAUAUGGGCAUCUACAUCAACUAUAUGAUUUGCCUGAGAAGCUGGACAGGACAAAAAAUAAAAUAAAAUAAAAAAUAAAA